CAGGGUACUCGAGUGGCGAACGGGUGAGUAACACGUGGGUGAUCUGCCCUGCACUUCGGGAUAAGCUUGGGAAACUUGGUCUAAUACCGGAUAGGAACCAUCUUUAGUGUGGUGGUUGGAAAGUUUUUUCGGUGUAGGAUUAGCUCGCGGCCUAUCAGCUUGUUGGUGGGGUAAUGGCCUACCAAGGCUGCGACGGGUAGCCGGCCUGAGAGGGUGUACGGCCACAUUGGGACUGAGAUACGGCCCAG
rnacentral:rRNA from 1 species